AGCGAACGCUGGCGGCAGGCCUAACACAUGCAAGUCGAGCGCCCGUAGCAAUACGGGAGCGGCAGACGGGUGAGUAACACGUGGGAACGUACCCUUCGGUUCGGAAUAACCCAGGGAAACUUGGACUAAUACCGAAUACGUCCGUAAGGAGAAAGAUUUAUCGCCGAAGGAUCGGCCCGCGUCCGAUUAGCUAGUUGGUGGGGUAAUGGCCCACCAAGGCUACGAUCGGUAGCUGGUCUGAGAGGAUGAUCAGCCACACUGGGACUGAGACACGGCCCAGACUCCUACGGGAGGCAGCAGUGGGGAAUAUUGGACAAUGGGCGCAAGCCUGAUCCAGCCAUGCCGCGUGGGUGAUGAAGGCCCUAGGGUUGUAAAG
rnacentral:rRNA from 1 species